GACGAACGCUGGCGGCGUGCCUAAUACAUGCAAGUAGAACGCUGAAGAGAGGAGCUUGCUCUUCUUGGAUGAGUUGCGAACGGGUGAGUAACGCGUAGGUAACCUGCCUUGUAGCGGGGGAUAACUAUUGGAAACGAUAGCUAAUACCGCAUAACAAUAGGUGACACAUGUCAUUUAUUUGAAAGGGGCAAUUGCUCCACUACAAGAUGGACCUGCGUUGUAUUAGCUAGUAGGUGAGGUAACGGCUCACCUAGGCGACGAUACAUAGCCGACCUGAGAGGGUGAUCGGCCACACUGGGACUGAGACACGGCCCAGACUCCUACGGGAGGCAGCAGUAGGGAAUCUUCGGCAAUGGGGGCAAACCUGACCGAGCAACGCCGCGUGAGUGAAGAAGGUUUUCGGAUCGUAAAGCUCUGUUGUAAGUCAAGAACGAGUGUGAGAGUGGAAAGUUCACACUGUGACGGUAGCUUACCAGAAAGGGACGGCUAACUACGUG
rnacentral:rRNA from 1 species